rnacentral:rRNA from 1 species
UACGUAGGGGGCAAGCGUUGUCCGGAAUCAUUGGGCGUAAAGCGCGUGUAGGCGGCCCGGUAAGUCCGCUGUGAAAGUCGGGGGCUCAACCCUCGAAUGCCGGUGGAUACUGUCGGGCUAGAGUGCGGGAGAGGCGAGUGGAAUUCCUGGUGUAGCGGUGAAAUGCGCAGAUAUCAGGAGGAACACCGGUGGCGAAGGCGGAUCUCUGGGCCAUUACUGACGCUGAGGAGCGAAAGCGUGGGGAGCGAACAGG